UGCCUUUUCUUCUGGAACUUACGUGAAUAAACUAUCCUACUUUCACCGCACACACACCGUGACACACACACGCACACAUUCCUCUGUGGAGCGCCGCCUCACCUCCGGCAACCACCGCCUUCCGUUCAGCGUGACAGCCCCUGCGUGUCUCCCUCUCUGUCUCGUCACAUCUCUCCUUCCCUCCCUACACACCCACACACUUACAUCUCUCUCGGCUACAGCAGUUGUCCGACGGAUUCCGCCACCACCUUCGCCGUUUUCCGGCAGCUGUGAGUUGGAAUUGUCUCCCCUUUGUGUAACAGGAAAUAACAUGGAGAAGGAGCAGGAAUAAAGUGGAUCGUGUGUCAAAGGCAUUUUGGAUUUUGAGGUAGUAUAUUCUUCAUUGGGUCUUAAUUCCUGAAGUAAGUCUACGUGAUUGCAUAUAUAAUAUUUUGUGUUAAUCAGUGAUACAACAAUUAAUCUGUUUCAUGUUGCUUAUGACGUGAAGUAUGUGAAUUCUGGAUAUGUGAAGGUAUUGAGAUAGUUGGAACUUAAUCUAUUAAUUUGAUAUGAUGUGGUGUGACAAGAAAUUGCUGAUGUGUAAUUAGAGAUUAUUGGAAAUAAGUAUUUCGAUGAAAAAUGUGUGUUUUUGAUUGUGCUUAUGCCCCAUGCUUGAGUGUGUUCCGUGGGUACAAUUGGCAUUGCCAUAGGACAGCAGCGCUGCAUUAUCUGGGAUCACUCGUCUUCUGGAUAACCGAAGCGAGGAUCGUCUGAAAUCAAAUCUGAUCUGAUCUGUCUCUGAUAUCUGAUCUCUGCACCCUUAAUGGGUGGUCUGUGCGGAGUCCUCUUGAGGAUAAAAUCCGCGUCUGAUUUUGUUUCUGAUCUGGUCCGCGUACCCUAGUCUAUCGCUAAGCACUUAAAGGGGCUAUGUGUGUUUGAAUAUGUGAAAAUAUUGGUGAUCUGCUUGCUUAUGUGUUGUAUAUGUAUUGGUGGCUGGAUAAUAUUGCUAUGUAUUCUCCGUUUCACUCGAUUAUUAGUGUUAUGUAAUUUAGUUUGUAUUCUUAUAUGUGAUUUACGAAAUUGAUACAUGAUUAUGAAUCUGAUAAACUUUAUUAGAUCAAAGUUUGACGAGAUAAAUGUAAGAAUUUACUAUUUUUCGUUUCUGAUAUUAAGUAUAUGUGCAUGGAUAUGACGAGGUUGGUUCUUCACAAUCAAUAAUAGUGUAAAUGUAUAGAUUGCAUAGCGUUUACUUUAACUCUGGAAAUUAGGCUCUAAUGUUGAGUAUUCUACUGAGCUUGUUGAAGCUCAUUCCUUUAUUUCCCCCCUCAGAUUUGAUGGUCAGAUUAACUCCUUUGCUUCACAGCUGCUCAAGUCGAGUCACUGCCUUUGCACUUGAAUAAUUAUUUGAUGUAUUAGUGGUGGCAUGUAUAGAAAGUGUAAUGUAUUUGGACGUCUUAAUCAUUUUAGUUACAAUGAAGAAAGCACAAUGCACAUCCGUUACAAAAA